UAGAGGAUGAGUUGUCCCCCUUGAAAACUCUCUUACACAAAAAGAAAUCUAAGGAGGCCCUUAUGAGAUAUUUGGUUCCGGUGAUGUGUUGGAUAAAAUAUUUAUCCUUAAACGAAUAAAUAGAGUAUUAUCCAACAACAAAACCGGAAAGUAUUAAAACUAACAAACUGUAAUUUUAGACUCAUUUAUUUUAAAAAAAUAUUGGCAUGAAAGUGACCAUGGCUGAAAAAUUAUUGGAAAUUUAUAUACUAAUGAUUUGCCCCGGUAACGGAUGCAAAAAAGUAUUUUAUGCUAGAAAAUGCCAUAAGGCCACGAUCACAGUGUAAGAAACUGGGAGAAGUGGGCUUCCGCCAAAGCGGGCUAGCAUAAAAGAAAAACCCUUCAGACAACAACAGAAUUAAAAGUCCUAAUUGCCCCUGUUAUGUUGUUUAGCAUUAAACUAUAGCCAAGGUUUGACAGAUGUGUAUCGUCUUGUGCGAAGAAUCUUUGACUUUCAUCAAUGUCUGGAUAUUUAAUGUAAAAUCCUCCUUGUUUAAUAAAAAAUGUACUAAUACAACUGUUGAUUCUAUAACGUAUUUUAUUGGCUAUAACAUUAUCAGAAAUAUAUCUCCAAGAUCUCCUCGGUAAAAUUUGAGACCAAAUUAUUUUUGUUUCUGGCAUUUUAACCAAUACUGUUUUAGUAAUGAAGUCUUUAAUAGCCCAUGUAAUUUCGACCAUAGGACGUUGACCAAUGUCAUUGCCGCCACAAUGAAUAAUUAAAAAUUUUGGUGGACGGUUAAAAUUAAGAAGAUAUGUUAUGGUAUCACUUAGGUCAGAAAC
rnacentral:lncRNA from 1 species